UGGGGAAUAUUGCACAAUGGGCGCAAGCCUGAUGCAGCAACGCCGCGUGAGGGAUGACGGCCUUCGGGUUGUAAACCUCUUUUAGUAGGGAAGAAGCGAAAGUGACGGUACCUGCAGAAAAAGCACCGGCUAACUACGUGCCAGCAGCCGCGGUAAUACGUAGGGUGCGAGCGUUGUCCGGAAUUAUUGGGCGUAAAGAGCUCGUAGGCGGUCUGUCGCGUCUGCUGUGAAAACCCGAGGCUCAACCUCGGGCCUGCAGUGGGUACGGGCAGACUAGAGUGCGGUAGGGGAGAAUGGAAUUCCUGGUGUAGCGGUGGAAUGCGCAGAUAUCAGGAGGAACACCGAUGGCGAAGGCAGUUCUCUGGGCCGUAACUGACGCUGAGGAGCGAAAGCGUGGGGAGCGAACAGGAUUAGAUACCCUGGUAGUCCACGCCGUAAACGUUGGGCGCUAGAUGUGGGGACCAUUCCACGGUUUCCGUGUCGCAGCUAACGCAUUAAGCGCCCCGCCUGGGGAGUACGGCCGCAAGGCUAAAACUCAAAUGAAUUGACGGGGUCAUAGCUG
rnacentral:rRNA from 1 species